UAGGGAAUCUUCGGCAAUGGGGGCAACCCUGACCGAGCAACGCCGCGUGAGUGAAGAAGGUUUUCGGAUCGUAAAGCUCUGUUGUAAGAGAAGAACGUGUGUGAGAGUGGAAAGUUCACACAGUGACGGUAACUUACCAGAAAGGGACGGCUAACUACGUGCCAGCAGCCGCGGUAAUACGUAGGUCCCGAGCGUUGUCCGGAUUUAUUGGGCGUAAAGCGAUCGCAGGCGGUUUAAUAAGUCUGAAGUUAAAGGCAGUGGCUUAACCAUUGUUAGCUUUGGAAACUGUUAAACUUGAGUGCAGAAGGGGAGAGUGGAAUUCCAUGUGUAGCGGUGAAAUGCGUAGAUAUAUGGAGGAACACCGGUGGCGAAAGCGGCUCUCUGGUCUGUAACUGACGCUGAGGCUCGAAAGCGUGGGGAGCAAACAGG
rnacentral:rRNA from 1 species